rnacentral:lncRNA from 1 species
CUCCAAUGAAAUUUAAUAAAAGAGUGAGUGUAGAAUGUGAAGAAGAAACUCCAAUGAAAUUUAAUAAAAGAGUGAGUGUAGAAUGUGAAGAAGAAACUCCAAUGAAAUUUAAUAAAAGAGUGAGUGUAGAAUGUGAAGAAGAAACUCCAAUGAAAUUUAAUAAAAGAGUGAGUGUAGAAUGUGAAGAAGAAACUCCAAUGAAAUUUAAUAAAAGAGUGAGUGUAGAAUGUGAAGAAGAAACUCCAAUGAAAUUUAAUAAAAGAGUGAGUGUAGAAUGUGAAGAAGAAACUCCAAUGAAAUUUAAUAAAAGAGUGAAUGUAGAAUAUGAACAAGAAACCCCCAAAAGAUCCAAUGUAGAAAAUGAUGACUUUAUGAAUGUAACACUUGAUGUAGAUUAUGAAGGUCAUCUUCAUCGUAUACUGUAUGGACUAUUAUGUAGUUAUAUGAAUGCACAAGCUGUUGGAGGUAUCACAGAUAGAUUGCCAUGGGAGAGUUAUGCAGACGCCGAUGAAUAUUUUACUAUAAACGACUGGGACCUUUGUGAACAUAAAACUCCAGACCCAAGGUAUAAAAGAGCUUAUUAUGAUGUAGUUGUUAAAAAGGAUGGAGGUUGUAAAAAUAAAACUCCAGUUGAUCAUAAACCGUUUUUAGAUUUUAUAAAUGAUCGAAUUGUUGAAAGUGAAGCAAAAAGAACUCAUAACCAAAGACCUGAAAAAAAUGGUUAUAGUGCAAAUUUUAUAGGUCCAAAACCAGAACCAAUACCAACACCAACUCCAAUGAAGUUUGAUGUAAACAAUGAUGACCAUGUGAGUGUAAAAAGGGGUAAAGUUCAUUUAAAUCAUCUUUUAUAUGCAACGCAUAAACUAUAUCAGGGUUAUGUGAAUGAAAGUGUUGAACAGGUCGUAGAUAAAACGCAAGGGCACAUGCCUGAAAAAACUGAUAAAUUUAUGAGUGGAAACAGGUCGAACGGUUGUGUAUAUGGAACUUUACAUACAAAUUUUGGAACUCUUUUUAAGUUUUUGAAAACUGAAAUUCCUGUAAAUGUCGAAAAUAGAAUACCAAGCCCAAGCCAUGAAAUGAGUGAUGGUUUUGAAAAUAGAACACCAAGCCCAAGGCAUGAAAUGAGUGAUCACAAUGAAAAUGUAGAAAUGAGUGAUGGUUUUGAAAAUAGAACACCAAGCCCAAGGCAUGAAAUGAGUGAUCACAAUGAAAAUGUAGAAAUGAGUGAUGGUUUUGAAAAUAGAACACCAAGCCCAAGGCAUGAAAUGAGUGAUCACAAUGAAAAUGUAGAAAUGAGUGAUGGUUUUGAAAAUAGAACACCAAGCCCAAGGCAUGAACUGGUUCAUUACAAUACAAAUAUAGGAACAUAUGAAGAUGGCAAUUCGGACGUUGAUAAUACAAACAAUGAUGUAUCAGAUUCAGAGGUUAAAAAUACAA